rnacentral:rRNA from 1 species
CAGCCGCCACGGUAAUACAGAGGGUGCGAGCGUUAAUCGGAUUUACUGGGCGUAAAGCGUGCGUAGGCGGCUUCUUAAGUCGGAUGUGAAAUCCCUGAGCUUAACUUAGGAAUUGAAUUCGAUACUGGGAAGCUAGAGUAUGGGAGAGGAUGGUAGAAUUCCAGGUGUAGCGGUGAAAUGCGUAGAGAUCUGGAGGAAUACCGAUGGCGAAGGCAGCCAUCUGGCCUAAUACUGACGCUGAGGUACGAAAGCAUGGGGAGCAAACAGGAUUAGAUACCCCGGUAGUCCCUGUCUCUUAUAC